UUCCUUCUAGAUGAAUCACCUCACUUUAUGGUUCUCCCGUCUUAAUCAAUGCGUAUAAUUCCUAAUUCCCUUUGCUUUGGUGUUUAGAGUCUUUGGACAGUGACUCCAAUGCUUUCGGUGGUUCUUCUGCAUUUUGGUCUACAAGAAGCGACCCAGUUUCAAGACCCCAUUGGGAAAUAAUUACAGCAGUUUUGAGCUCCCGAAAGGCAAAACUGUGCCUGAUGACCGGAUGGCGGACUCAAUCAGUCACCCUCGGAGUAGGAAUUAAUGACUAGCCAUACCAAUCGUUCGUCCAUCCGUUGGCAGCAGAAUCAUGCACGCUCCGUUGCAGUGGGUAUAUUACGGCGUAGUAGGAAAUUUCUGAUUCUGUGUAAUUACUGUUGAAAGGAAUUACCUGCGGUAGCAAUUGCUUUUUGGAUAAAUCUGUGGAAUUACCUUA